UUUCACUCCAUGCAUCUGAAGAAGUGGUUUUUUUCCCACGAAAGCUUAUGCUGAAAUAAAUUUGUUAGUCUCUAAGGUGCCACAAGUACUCCUGUUCUUUGUGUGGUGUGUGAAGAAGUACUUCCUUUGUUUAAAACCUGGUGUCUAUUAUCUCCUA